CGUGGAUUCGAGUGGGCGUCAUGGAUUCGGCGUGAUCAAGGCUUCGUGGAUUUGAAGUGUGGACGUUUCGUGGAUUCGGGACGUGGCGUUCGUGGAUUCGGACGUGGGGUGUGGACAACCGGUUGGUGUGCGCGAGAUCCGGAGAAGAUAAAAGAGAGGUUUGAGUCCGUGGAUUUGGUAAAUCACCUUGUAAUCUUUUAUUCUUAGUGGAUUGUUAUCGCGUGUUCGUCCUGUGGGUUUUUUACUCCAAGUUGGAGUUUUCCUACGUAAAUCUCGGUGUGAUUUUUAUUUUCCGCAUUUAUUUUGAUCGCAUUAAGAUUUGUGGUUUUUGGCCGUUACACCUAUUCACCCCCCUCUAG
rnacentral:lncRNA from 1 species